AAUAAAUAAGAUGCAGUGGAAGUCCCAGUUCACUGGAGAAACAGACCAGGGCAAGCAGGCAGUUGUGCUUCAGGAGCUCAGAUCUGCAACAUAGAGAUGUGCACAUUGUGGAGACGAAGUGGAGAAACGUAGAAGAGGAAUGUGGAUUCAUCUGCCUGGAGAGACCGGAAAAGUCUUCCUAGAAGGGGUCACCCUGUUCAAGAUCAAGUCUGAUCAGGAAUUUGCCAGAUAGACUUGGUGAUGGAUUGGUUACCGGGCAAAAGAAGUGGGGCAGGGAGGGAGCGUGGUCCAUUGGGAGAAGGCGCGAGUAACUCCUCACGUGUGGAGCUUGGAUGCAGGUGGAUGGCACAGUAUGACUUUUAUCACAAAGCAAGUGUCAUUUGAGCUGGAUCUCCCCCCAGAGAAGAAGAACCCGUCUUUUCUCUUCAGGCUUUUGAUGAAACAGUCACCGCCAGGGCCAGGGGUGAGUCUAGCCCUCCUACAGCAUCCACUGUGUUCUGUGAACCAGUGCUGUCAGCAGGGAAAUGUGGUUCUCAAGUGGGGUUCCUGGAGGAACAUCAGCUCCUGUUUGCCACGCUGAGUCUUCACCAAAACCAGAGUCGUAAAGGGUGGAUCCAAGAAGAACCCUGUACAACUCACAGGCUCCUUCCUGUGGUCCCACUGCUGCUGCUGCUGCUGCUAAGUCGCUCCAGUCGUGUCCAACUCUGUGCGACCCCAUAGACGGCAGCCCAACAGGCUCCCCCGUCCCUGGGAUUCUCCAGGCAAGAACACUGGAGUGGGUUGCCAUUUCCUUCUCCAGUGCAUGAAAGUGAAAAGUGAAAAUGAAGUCGCUCAGUCGUGUCGGACUCCUAGCGACCCCAUGGACUGCAGCCUACCAGGCUCCUCCGUGAAUGGGAUUUUCCAGGCAAGAGUACUGGAGUGGGGUGCCAUUGCCUUCUCUGGUGGUCCCACUAGCAAGUGCUUAAUCUCAAAACUGUAGCUGGAACGCAGGGGUCCUUGGUGCCUGGAUCAGCUUUCCCUGUCACUCCAUGAUAGCAGGAUCUCAGAGGCCCUAGCCUCACAGGGCAGAUUCUUAACCACUGGACCACCAGGGAAGCCCCACCUGUCUCUUUUAAAGAAAGGAAAAAACAAGCAUCCUUCACCUAGAAUCUUCAGAUCCAGAGUCUCCCGCAAAUCCUCCCAGUAGCCCCUCUGCAGACUUCCCUGUAGCACUGCUCUCAGGGGCUUUUCUCUCUCUUUGUCCUCAGCCACUCCUCAUCUCUUCUGCUGCAGGCCUUCCCCCUGAGAGUUGUCCCUGGAGAGUUCCUCCAGCCCUGUCACAAAGCCCCAGCCCCAACCAGGGGACGCAGGUCUGGACAUCUAUCUCCUCCCACGUUCCCUGUGUAAGGCAGGAGGGGAAGGGGUGAAUUUACAGCCUAGAACCUCCCCUGGUUUUCACAUGUCUCAACAGUGACACUGGCUUUUUCCUUCUCCUCCAGAAAGACUUUUGACAAUAGUGCUCCCAUGUAUUAGCCGCAGACCUGGCCCUGGUUUUAUUGUCGAUCUGGGUUCUGUUUGUACUGGGGCAAAUUCCAUUCUCC
ensembl:lncRNA